UUAUCUUGACUUCCUGCGUGACUCUGUGUUUCUGGCCUUCCCCACACGUGCCUACCGGCGGCCAGCAGAAAAGUGGGAGGUAGCUGAGGCAGUGCUAGAGGUGUUUCACAAACUUCUGAGAGAAUAUGAGCCGCAGCCAGCCGACUUCCUGCAAGAAAUGGUGGAACUUCAGGGAGAGCAAAUGCCAGCCCAUAAGCCCCCGGGACACAGUCUGACGUUCCACCUGCUGAAUGACUCGCCCACCCUCUCUCUCUGCCUCAGCCUGCUGGAGGAGGGCGCUCGCCAGCUAGACACCUACGCCCCCUUUCCUGGU